rnacentral:rRNA from 1 species
AUGUCUUCGGCGCCGCCACCCCCCUCGUCGUCUUCGUCGCCCGAAUCUCCGUCUGAUGUAACGCCCUCCUCAUCCUCCUCUUCAUCGCCCUCAUCAUCAUCGUCGUCGUCCGUGUCCUCAGCAUCAUCAUCCCCAUCGGAGGAGCCGGAGCCCGGGGGCGCAAAGAUAAAAUCGUCCAUCAAGUCCGAGAUGUCUGAGUCAUCGUCGCUCAUGCUGCUGAACAUGAACGUGUCUGCGUCGUCCUUCAUCAAACUCAUCAAAGUCAAUCAUGGAGGGGUCACAAUCACCAGGUGCCCAAAUCUUGACGUCUGUAGCAAUGCCGCUGCUUGCAACAACAAUCUCAGAAGGAUGCUGUUCAACACAGUUGACGAUCCGUUUAUCUCCUUUCAUCGCUCGCAUGAGCUCCCCAUCCUUCUUUCUCCAAAUAAAUACAUGGCCACAGUCUGA